rnacentral:rRNA from 1 species
GGGGACUUUCCGGUCCUCAGUGCCGCAGCAAACGCGUUAAGCGCUCCGCCUGGGGAGUACGACCGCAAGGUUGAAACUCAAAGGAAUUGACGGGGGCCCGCACAAGCGGUGGAGCAUGUGGUUUAAUUCGAAGCAACGCGAAGAACCUUACCAGGUCUUGACAUCCUGCGCUACACCUAGAGAUAGGUGGUUCCCUUCGGGGACGCAGAGACAGGUGGUGCAUGGCUGUCGUCAGCUCG